ACUCCUACUGAGCAGGACUGUUGUGCUCUCAGGAGCACGGAGGCCUCUGUGCUUUCAGGAGCACGGAGGCCUCCGUGCUCCUGAGCUGUUUUCGACGAUGAAAUUUUCGAAUCGACGAUCGGUUCUAUUAGACUUGAUCUAGCGUAUUUAAAGUUUCUAGAAAAUAUUUUUUGCUAUUUUUCGAUAUCAUUUACCUAGCAAUCAAAAGGAUUCAAAAUCAAUAAUUUUUAAAGGUUGAUGUCUGCCGUUUUCCAAUUUAACGGUGUAUAAGUAUUCAAAUCAAAUGAAUUUUGAUACAAAAUUCUUUAUCCUAUCCACAACAAGAUCACUAUUUCUGAUCGAAAAUUUUAGUGCUAUAUCACCACUUUUUAUAGAAUUUGCUCCUGAGAGCACAACAGUCCUGCUCUACUUCUACCUAUUUUCAUAAAUUGUGAUAAUUUUUUAAUUAUUUAACUAGUAUAU
rnacentral:lncRNA from 1 species